GAGAGUGGGGUGGGAGGAGGUAUUGUUUCAUGGUCUCUGUGUAUAUAAUGUCUUCUGCAGUUUCCACAGUAUGCAUCCGAUGAAGUGGGCUGUGGAUCGCGAAGGCUUAUGCUCAAGUGGAUUGGUUGGUCUCUGGGGUGCCACUGGUGCUCCUUUUCUUUUUGCGAAUACAGACUAACACGGCUGCUACUCUGAAACCUGUCAU